rnacentral:rRNA from 1 species
GACGAACGCUGGCGGCGUGCUUAACACAUGCAAGUCGAACGAUGAAGCCGGAGCUUGCUCCGGUGGAUUAGUGGCGAACGGGUGAGUAACACGUGAGCAAUCUGCCCUUGACUCUGGGAUAACUGCGGGAAACUGUAGCUAAUACCGGAUAUGACCUCCUUGGGCAUCCUUGGAGGUGGAAAGUUUUUCGGUGAGGGAUGGGCCCGCGGGCUAUCAGCUUGUUGGUGAGGUAGUGGCGCACCAAGGCGACGACGUGUAGCCGGCCGGAGGGGGUGAGCGGCCACACUGGGGCUGAGACACUGCCAAGACUCCUACGGGAGGCAGCAGUGGGGAAUAUUGCGCAAUGGGCGAAAGCCUGACGCAGCAACGCCGCGUGCGGGAUGACGGCCUUCGGGUUGUAAACCGCUUUCAGCAGGGAAGAAGCCGCAAGGUGACGGUACCUGCAGAAGAAGCACCGGCUAACUACGUGCCAGCCGCCGCCGUAA